ensembl:snRNA U1 U1 spliceosomal RNA
AUACUUACCUGCAGGGGAGAUACCAUGAUCACGAAGGUGGUUUUCCCAGGGUGAGGCUCAUUCAUUGCUCUCCCAGUGUGCUGACCCCUACGAUUUUCCUGAAUGUGGGAAAUUUGAGUGCAUAAUUUGUGGAAGUUGGGGACUGCAUUGGAGCUUUCCCCUG